UGAAGGUCCUUUUAAAAAACCAGUUCAACAUGUUUCCCAACAUCAUCCCACAAUUAAUGGAUGCAACAUGUGUCAAUAAUAUAGUUAAUGUUGCGAAAAACUAGAACUGCAUGUGACGUCAUAUCGUAUGACAAAGUACUUUGAACUUUAAUAGGUCACGCCAUCUUUUCAUAUACUGUUUUACCACAAGGUUUUACCACAGAGUAGAGACAUACAGAGACGUAACUAGUGUACCCACUUUUUUUGUGCGCAUGCUCGGCAUGUUACUAGAUGCAUGCAUCUGAUUGGAUGACGACCUGAUGACGACUCACUUUAAACUUGCUGAGCACGCGCAGUUGAUCAUUUUUCGCCCGGUCGCCUGAAAAAAAGUGGGUACAUGAUAACGUAAUAUUCCGCAGUGUUUACGACGGUCAGUUACGUCUCUGUAUGUCUCUACUCUGUGGUUUUACUGUUCACGUUGUUUAUAAACUCAAAUACCCAGACCUGCCAAGGUUCCCGCAUUUCGCGUGAAAGUUACGCAUUGGCUGCUUUUGUUCCCGCUGUCCCGCACGCAUAACUAAAAUGAUCUUAAAGUUACGCAUUUUUACCAUUAUAUGACGCUAUCCCACUAGUCGUACAAUAACUCUUUGACAACGCUGUGGGCAAACGUAGAAUUAGAGUUAACAAUCGACCAACCAAAUAAAGACGUUCAGACGCAUCGUUGGCCUGGGGGUACAUGGACAAAUACGCUUUCUGACGAUCUGGAGAUUCCAAAUUUCCAAAAUUUUCUCAAUUUUCCUUGUC